UACGAAGGGGGCUAGCGUUGUUCGGAAUCACUGGGCGUAAAGGGCGCGUAGGCGGCCGAUCAAGUCGGGGGUGAAAGCCUGUGGCUCAACCACAGAAUUGCCUUCGAUACUGUUUGGCUUGAGACCGGAAGAGGUUAGUGGAACUGCGAGUGUAGAGGUGAAAUUCGUAGAUAUUCGCAAGAACACCAGUGGCGAAGGCGGCUGACUGGCUCGGUACUGACGCUGAGGCGCGAAAGCGUGGGGAGCAAACAGG
rnacentral:rRNA from 1 species